CCCUUAGAUGUCCGGGGCCGCACGCGCGCUACACUGAAGGAAUCAGCGUGGCUUUCUCCCUGACCCGAAAGGGUUGGGAACCCGUUGAAUCUCCUUCGUGAUAGGGAUUGGGGCUUGAAAUUGUUCCCCAUGAACGAGGAAUUCCCAGUAAGCGCGAGUCAUAAGCUCGCGUUGAUUACGUCCCUGCCCUUUGUACACACCGCCCGUCGCUACUACCGAUUGAACGGUUUAGUGAGGGCCUCGGAUUGGUCUCGGCCCGCUCUUUACCGGGCGGCGCCGUUGGUCGAGAAGACGCUCGAACUUGAUCGUUUAGAGGAAGUAAAAGUCGUAACA
rnacentral:rRNA from 1 species